UGCAGUCGACGAAGCCCGCCCUUCGGGGCGGUGACUGAGUGGCAAACGGCUGAGUAACGCGUAGGUGACCUGUCCCGAGGAGGGGGACAACCCGCGGAAACGCGGGCUAAUACCCCAUACGCCCAUCGGCUCGGACCGGUGGGGAAAUGUUCCGGCGCCUUGGGAGGGGCCUGCGUCCGAUUAGCUAGUUGGUGGGGUAACGGCUCACCAAGGCGACGAUCGGCAGCUGGUCUGAGAGGAUGAUCAGCCAGACUGGGACUGAGACACGGCCCAGACUCCUACGGGAGGCAGCAGCGAGGAAUCUUGCGCAAUGGGCGAAAGCCUGACGCAGCAACGCCGCGUGGGUGAAGAAGGCCUUCGGGUUGUAAAUCCCUUUUGUCGGGGAAGAAGUUCUGACGGUACCCGGCGAAUAAGCCACGGCUAACUACGUGCCAGCAGCCGCGGUAAGACGUAGGUGGCGAGCGUUAUCCGGAUUUACUGGGCGUAAAGCGUACGUAGGCGGCAUCGGAAGUCUGCCGUGAAAUCUCCCGGCUCAACCGGGAGCGGACGGUGGAAACUCCGACGCUCGAGGGGCGUAGAGGCAAGCGGAAUUCCCGGAGUAGUGGUGGAAUGCGUAGAUACCGGGAGGAACACCAGUGGCGAAAGCGGCUUGCCAGGCGCAUCCUGACGCUGAGUACGAAAGCGUGGGGAGCGAACCGGAUUAGAUACCCGGGUAGUCCACGCCGUAAACGAUGGAUGCUAGACGUGGGGGGUAUCGACCCCCUCUGUGUCGCAGCUAACGCAAUAAGCAUCCCGCCUGGGGACUACGGCCGCAGGCUAAACUCAAAGAUUGACGGGGGC
rnacentral:rRNA from 1 species